rnacentral:other from 15 species
AGCGAAGCCCGCCUGCGCGGGCUA